GUGAGGUUCAAAAAUAGGCUGUUACACUGCUCUAUUCAGAGACUGAAAAUCUAUCCCACCGCAAACCUCUGUUUUGGCUUGAUGUUCUUCUGUGACAAUACAUUUGAAAAAUGGCUAUUAUAUCCGUUGUUUCUGCAGGAUUUAAACCCCUUUGAGCCUCAAACACCAGACUGACUGGCACAGAGAAUUGAAGAUACUGACCCUUGCUGGCCCUCAUGACUUCAAUCAACCAGGACCGGGACUCUGUCAACUUGAGGAUGGCUUCUGCCAGGAUUCUAUACUGAACACUCCUUUGUCAAGCCCUUCAUGAAUAAGCAUGUGCCCUUGGCUUAAAACUUCCCCAAUUUUGUUGUUUGGGGUGUGAUGGCUUUGGAAAUUAUUCCCCAUGAUCUCCCUAUUUGCUGCAAAUAAAGAUUACUUUGUGUGACGACUCCCCA